rnacentral:rRNA from 1 species
AGUGAACGCUGGCGGUAGGCUUAACACAUGCAAGUCGAACGGCAGCACAGUAAGAGCUUGCUCUUACGGGUGGCGAGUGGCGGACGGGUGAGGAAUACAUCGGAAUCUACUUUUUCGUGGGGGUUAACGUAGGGAAACUUACGCUAAUACCGCAUACGACCUACGGGUGAAAGCAGGGGAUCUUCUGACCUUGCGCGAAUGAAUGCGCCGAUGUCGGAUUAGCUAGUUGGCGGGGUAAAGGCCAACCAAGGCGACGAUCCGUAGCUGGUCAGAGAGGAUGGUGCGCCACACUGGAAGUGAGACACGGUCCAGACACCUACGGGAGGCAGCAGUGGGUAAUAGAGGACAGAGGGCGCAAGCCUGAACCAGCCAUACCGCGUUGGUGAAGAAGGCCUGCGUGUUGUAAAGCCCUUUUGUUGGUAUAGAAAAGCAGCAGGUUAAUACCCCGCUGUUCUGACGGUACCGAAAGAAUAAGCACCGGCUAACUGCGU